rnacentral:tRNA from 1 species
GGCGGUGUAGCUAAGCUUGGCCAUAGCGCGACGCUCAUAACGUCGAGGUCGGGAGUUCAAAUCUCCCCACCGCCA